AUUCAAAUAGUUUAAAUAAAAUACUGAUUUGUGGUGUCAGAGAUAUAAUAAUUUAUUUUGGAUC
rnacentral:tRNA from 1 species